UGGGGAAUUUUGGACAAUGGGGGCAACCCUGAUCCAGCAAUGCCGCGUGUGUGAAGAAGGCCUUCGGGUUGUAAAGCACUUUUGUCCGGAAAGAAAUCCCUUGCCCUAAUACGGCGGGGGGAUGACGGUACCGGAAGAAUAAGCACCGGCUAACUACGUGCCAGCAGCCGCGGUAAUACGUAGGGUGCGAGCGUUAAUCGGAAUUACUGGGCGUAAAGCGUGCGCAGGCGGUUUUGUAAGACAGGCGUGAAAUCCCCGAGCUCAACUUGGGAAUGGCGCUUGUGACUGCAAGGCUAGAGUAUGUCAGAGGGGGGUAGAAUUCCACGUGUAGCAGUGAAAUGCGUAGAGAUGUGGAGGAAUACCGAUGGCGAAGGCAGCCCCCUGGGACGUCACUGACGCUCAUGCACGAAAGCGUGGGGAGCAAACAGGAUUAGAUACCCUGGUAGUCCACGCCCUAAACGAUGUCAACUAGUUGUUGGGGAUUCAUUUCUUCAGUAACGUAGCUAACGCGUGAAGUUGACCGCCUGGGGAGUACGGUCGCAAGAUCA
rnacentral:rRNA from 1 species